rnacentral:rRNA from 1 species
AUUGAACGCUGGCGGCAGGCCUAACACAUGCAAGUCGAGCGGAUGACGGGAGCUUGCUCCUUGAUUCAGCGGCGGACGGGUGAGUAAUGCCUAGGAAUCUGCCUGGUAGUGGGGGACAACGUUUCGAAAGGGACGCUAAUACCGCAUACGUCCUACGAGAGAAAGCAGGGGACCUUCGGGCCUUGCGCUAUCAGAUGAGCCUAGGUCGGAUUAGCUAGUUGGUGGGGUAAUGGCUCACCAAGGCGACGAUCCGUAACUGGUCUGAGAGGAUGAGCAGUCACACUGGAACUGAGACACGGUCCAGACUCCUACGGGAGGCAGCAGUGGGGAAUAUUGGACAAUGGGCGAAAGCCUGAUCCAGCCAUGCCGCGUGUGUGAAGAAGGUCUUCGGAUUGUAAAGCACUUUAAGUUGGGAGGAAGGGCAGUAAGUUGAUACCUUGCUGUUUUGACGUUACCGACAGAAUAAGCACCGGCUAACUCUGUGCCAGCAGCCGCGGUAA